rnacentral:rRNA from 1 species
UUGCACCUUUCAAGCGAGUGGCGAACGGGUGAGUAACACGUGGAUAACCUGCCUCAAGGCUGGGGAUAACAUUUGGAAACAGAUGCUAAUACCGAAUAAAACUUAGUAUCGCAUGAUACAAAGUUGAAAGGCGCUACGGCGUCACCUAGAGAUGGGUCCGCGGUGCAUUAGUUAGUUGGUGGGGUAAAGGCCUACCAAGACAAUGAUGCAUAGCCGAGUUGAGAGACUGAUCGGCCACAUUGGGACUGAGACACGGCCCAAACUCCUACGGGAGGCUGCAGUAGGGAAUCUUCCACAAUGGGCGAAAGCCUGAUGGAGCAACGCCGCGUGUGUGAUGAAGGCUUUAGGGUCGUAAAGCACUGUUGUAUGGGAAGAAAUGCUAGAAUAGGGAAUGAUUCUAGUUCGACGGUACCAUACCAGAAAGGGACGGCUAAAUACGUGCCAGCAGCCGCGGUAAUACGUAUGUCCCGAGCGUUAUCCGGAUUUAUUGGGCGUAAAGCGAGCGCAGACGGUUGAUUAAGUCUGAUGUGAAAGCCCGGAGCUCAACUCCGGAAUGGCAUUGGAAACUGGUUAACUUGAGUGUUGUAGAGGUAAGUGGAACUCCUGGUGUAAACGGGG